UACGUAGGGGGCUAGCGUUGUCCGGAUUUAUUGGGCGUAAAGAGCUCGUAGGUGGUUCGGUUAGUCGGAUGUGAAAUCUCCAGGCUCAACCUGGAGGGGUCAUUCGAUACUGCCGUGACUAGAGUUCGGUAGAGGAGUGUGGAAUUCCUGGUGGAGCGGUGAAAUGCGCAGAGAUCAGGAGGAACACCCGUAGCGAAGGCGGCACUCUGGGCCGAUACUGACACUGAGGAGCGAAAGCGUGGGGAGCGAACAGG
rnacentral:rRNA from 1 species